GGGGAAUAUUGGACAAUGGGCGCAAGCCUGAUCCAGCAAUGCCGCGUGGGUGAAGAAGGCCUGCGGGUUGUAAAGCCCUUUAAGCGGGGAGGAACAGCGGAUCAUAAAUAAUGUUCCGCAUUGACGUUACCCGCAGAAUAAGCACCGGCUAACUCCGUGCCAGCAGCCGCGGUAAUACGGGGGGUGCGAGCGUUAAUCGGAAUGACUGGGCGUAAAGGGUGCGUAGGCGGUACAAUCAGUCAGCCGUGAAAGCCCUGGGCUUAACCUGGGAAUGGCGGUUGAGACGGUUGAACUAGAGUGGACUAGAGGACUGUGGAACUCCCGGUGUAGCGGUGAAAUGCGUAGAGAUCGGGAAGAACACCGAUGGCGAAGGCAGCAGUCUGGGGUCACACUGACGCUGAGGCACGACGGCGUGGGGAGCAAAC
rnacentral:rRNA from 1 species